UGACCUGAGGCCAUCUCCGCAUCCCCCCAGGCCCAGAUGGGACCCUCAGGCCUUGUGGGAGCCUUGUGAGUGGAGGAUCCCCAGCUCCUAAGGCAGUGACCCCCCACUCCGCCUACUGCAGCGGAAGACCUUCGGAGUCCACACCUUCAGAGGAAAACGCUGAACAUUCUGGAUGAGUCUCCCCCAAGGAAAAUAGGAGAGCCAUUUGCUUUAUGUGAUUACAUUGAAUUCGCCCUGUCUGUGAAGAGAAGGUGGAGUCUUGGGUUAAUUAACAAACCCAGAAAGUGGGUGCUUCUCAGAGUGUAUCCGUGGAUAUGAGGACUGUUAACAGGGAGGGCAGCCUGCAAGACUGAAAAUCAAAACGUGAAGCCAGGGCCCAGCUGGCCCACAGCGGCAGCUCUUGGCCUGUCCUUGUUCAUCCUGCUUACCCACUUGGCAUGCCCAGAAGGCAGAGUGUAGCCAUUCCUCUAGGGCUUGGAGAGUCAGGCCAGACCAAGGGAGUAAGCUGCCAGGAAGACACGUGUCAAGGUGCUGAGCUGUGGAACUGACCACACAACAGGGACCCAGCAGAGGGCAUCAGGCAGCCCUUCUUACUUCCUUCUCGGACUCAGAGGGUCACCUCAGUGAGUCCUGGGGUCUGCGAGAAGCUGGUGGCCUGGGAACCAAGAGCAAAUGUGCAGGUUUAAGAAAAAAUGCGUUUGUGUGUGCUGCCUCUAUGUGGCCGCAUGCAAGAACUACAAUCUUAUGUCUCCUGGGCCUAACUGGGGAAAGGCAAGUUCUCAGAGAUUCAGUUUUCAGAGGCUGCUGAAUUUUACAGCUCUAAAACCUAGCUCCUUGACUCACAGAGUCAGUUUUUUUUUUUUAAUAAAACUAUCUUGAGAAACUUCCAAGGGUGGCCAAACCUGCUUUCAGGUGUCCUAAGUUUUUGUUUCUAAAAGACUAAAGUCAUACAUUUCUGUUACCUUUCAAUGAGCAAAUGUUUUCUUCAGCUCAAAACUUUUGAAAUUAGAUGGCCCACUGAGAUCUAAUUACUCCAGAUCUGGGCCUAAGUCACCCAUUAUGUGCUUGCCAAUAGGCCUCCUGCCAUCCUUCCCCUUGAGGGUCUGCAGGGCACCAGCCUCCUAAGUGCUGAGCUUUGGGAGUCACCUGUGGUACUUGUUCUCUUUCGGUGUCCCAUGGCCAUAUAUUCUCCAGGUCCUGCGAGUCCUUCCAAGCAUCUUUCGUGUGUAUCCUUUCCCCCUCAUCCUGUCACCCCUCCUUGACUUGUCAUUCUCUUUGUCACUUGUGUGGCCUUUAGUGGAGAGUUCCGUGACUGGAGCUCAUGAAAUGGCCCAAGGUGUACACUCUGUGGAUGGAAUUUGAAACCACAGGAGUGCAUGAGAUUGUCUAGCACAAGAGUAACAGGAAGCAGGGGGCUUGAUGUCAGCUUAACUCCCCCCAGGAUUACAUCAACCCAUUGUAUUGGUCAGUGAUGAUCAACUCACCUUUGUCCCCUCUGGUGUCACAAUUAUCUUUGUUCUGCUGUUUUAAGUGAAGGCUGCAGCUGGGGAUAGCCCUUCCACACGCCACACCCCAUGGACCUGAAGGGAAGAGGCACAGUUCAAAUGGGGAGACUGAUGAGAAACCAGAAGUGAAAAUCUGGGCUGUGAAGGAGAGAUUGAGGGAGGGCAGUUGAAAGAGGGCUGUUUGUGACUUGAAAUGACAGCCAGCAGAGUGGCUUCAGUACAUGGGGAAGGAUCCAGUUAAGAGGGAACAGACUGCGGCCUUGGACAAGUGAACCCAUCUCUCUGUGCUUGUGCAGCCCCCACUCCACCGACAGUCAGGCUUUCUUAGGUAAGUCACCCAUGAUCCAUGACAGAUGGAUGAAUACAAGAGGUGUAGAAUACACUCAGGUGUUUGGUGGGCAGCCAUAACUAUCUCUCAUCCCUUCUGUUUAGCAUUUUAUGAUUUCUUUUAUAAUUGUUGCUGCUAUUCAUCACGCCCCCUGCUUUAUGAGACAGGGCCUUGCUAUGUAACUCAGGCUGGCCUUGAACUCACUAUGUAGCCCAGGCAAUCCUCCGGCCUUAGCCUCCUAAGUGCUGGGAUCAUAAGCAGGCGCCACCAUUUCUGUCUUCUGCCAUUCAUCGCUUACAGUGACUUAUUUAUAAAUUUAACUUUAUCAUAGGUAUAUGCGUACAGGAAGUUCAGUACUAUCUGCAGUUUCAGGCAUCCACUGGGUGUCUUGGAACUUAUGCCCCUCAAGUCACAGGGACAAUUAAUUGUAUUUCCUAAUCUAGAAGAUAAGGAAAAUAAAUAUCACCUACUCUACCUAUUCCACAGGCAUUGUGAAGUACAAAUUAAGAGAUAGGUGUGAAAAUAUUAUAAAAAUGUCCCAGUUAACUACUUUUAGAAGUGAUAGGAAUUAAAUGGUAAAAUCAGUAGGAGAGAUUAUCCAUAUAUUUGUUAUGCAGUUAUAACUUGUUGGUUACAAAUAAUUUGCUAUAUACAGAUAAAAUUCUGCUGUAGGCUAAAAGCUUUCAUCUGUUACUUGGCUUAAACUGUAUGGUCAUCACUGAGGUAGAUGAAAUGGUUUCUACAGUAUUUUGCAGAAAGAAAGAGGAGGCUUGGAGAGAGAAAUGAUUGUCCACAACCACCCAGGCAGUAAACAGAAGAGCUGAAUCUAAAUCAAUGAUGAAAUUUCAUUUGCAUAAUAUAAAUCUACUAUUAGAAUAAAUUUUAUUCCAGAAGAAUAAUAUGGUCAUGAAUGUUCUGAACCAAAAAAAGAAAGACAAAGAAAAAAAAAAGACAAAGAAAAAAAAAAUCUUGUAGGUGCAAUGACUCAAUUGUCUUUACUUAUCAAGGCUUCUAUUUCUAAUUUAACCAGGUACUGCUAAGUUCACUAAAUGAAUCAUAGUUGAGACCAAAAUAAAGAACUUCAAACCAUGCCCUGAAUUUAAAAAGGACCCUUUAGUCAAUUUACAAAGGCAUCCAUUUCUCUUUUCUUCUCUCAAUAACUCAAUCUCAUUUUUAGUUGGUUACAGGUUGCCCAAAAUAUGGACACAGUUGUGAUGGUGUGGUUAAGUGCUGGGUGGUGAGGGAUAGACCUGUGCAUAUGACCCAGGAGCAUGCCCUUGGGGAGUGAGCAGCCUGGCCAGGACUUUCUCUCUUCCUCCACCUGACAAUGCAACCUGGAGCAGCCAUCUUGGUCUAUGAUGCUGACAACAGCCAUGCCACACAAGAGAUGAAGUCUGAGUCCUUAAGGCCACCCAGCCACCAUGCUCAUACUGGGCAUGGCCUGGACCAGGAGAACUUUUACAGAAGGAGAAGGAAACAUAUAGAUGACUGCAUUUGGGAGGCUUCAGUUACAAAAGCCUGAAAUGCAUCUGUGAUAGGUUGAUACAAUAAACAUGUAUUUGGUCAUUGCCUGGCAUUCCUAGCACACAGCUCUUAAGACCCUUGGGAUCUCCAGAGUGGUGAGUGUCUUUGGUAUGCUAGUGACACAAAAGGUGACUAGGGCUGCUAAAUAAACUCAGGAUGGGUGGCUGUCUCCAGAAAGACUGAGGAAGGAUAAAAAGCUGAAUGUGAAUUGAUCAAUGGCCAAUGAAAUUGGCUAAUGUAAUCAGUGAUGUCUGUGAAGUCUCCUUAAAAACUAAAAGUUCAGAGAGCUGAACAUGUGGAGGUGCCUGGUGGGAGAGACACCCUAGAGACAGCCUCCAUUCACACCUGGCCCGAGCCAUCUCCUCCACCUGGCCGUUCAUCUAUGCCCUUUGCAAUAGCCUUUAUGAUAAGUAGGCAAAUUAAGUAAAGUGUUUCCCUGAGCUCCAUGACCUGCCCUAGAAAAUUAAUGGAAGAAGCCAGAGUCAUGGGAAUCCUAGUUUAUGAUUAGCCAUUCAGAAGCACAAGUCACAAGCUAGGACUUGUGACUGUCAUCUGAAAUGGGGGCAGUCUUGUGGGACAGAGCCCCUGAAUUUGAGGGCUAUUUCAUUCCAGGUAGAUAAGAGUCAGAAUUGAGUGAUAUUGGAGGACACCAAGCUGGUGUCCUGCACCACAGAACUGGUUGUUAGUGGGGAGAAAUGUACACAGCUAGGGUCAGAAGUAACUGAUGAGUGGUGUGUGAGAGUAGAAAGAAGAUAACAGUGUUUUUAUUUUUCCUUCAGAGUAUCCUAUUAUAUGACCAUUUAGCCUGUUUUCUUCUAGUUGCACAUUAAGACAGAACCUCAAGGUCCUCAUCUAGAAAAUGGGAUUUACUUACUGUCUACGGUUAUUGGAAAGACUAGAAGUAAUAUGUGCGUGAACCACAGCCAGUGCUGUAGCACACAGGUGAAAAUUAAUGGUAUUAUGGCCUGUCAUAACUUAUAUAAAAAUGACUUCCUGAAAAGAAAUGGACCAAGUUCACUUUAAAACAUUUAAAAUUUCACUUCAUCGUCUCUGUAGUAAGAAGAACUUCCAGAAAGCAAGGACAGGAAGUACCUAGCAAAGACAAGAGCCCCCAGAACACAGGCAUCUGGGGCUACUUACAGGGCAGAGGCAAAAAACCCUACAUACUUCACUAACUCUCGAGGGAAUCCAUUAAGGGUAGUCAUUCUUGUCUAUUUUGUAAGAUCACAAAGAACAGUUUAUAUUGUAUGUUCUUUAUUUCAGAGGAAAAAGAACACCAUAUUUUCCAUAAAAUGUUCAAUUCAAAAUAAUUGCAAUGAAUUAAUUGGAUGCUUAAAAAUAAACUUCAGGUGGGUGGAAAAAUCAGCUUCAGUUUGUCCAGCUGCCUGAAGGCCUGUCUCUGUGGAUGACCUCAACAAGAGGUCCAAAGUCCAAACACUGACAGAGACCAGGUGGGAAAGUGGGCUGAAGCUGGCUGGACGGGGACUGGGACAAACUGCAGGACAAAUGUCCUCCCACAGGAAGCAGCUACCAUUCACCUUGGAAGUCUAUUGCCAUGAAAGAAAGCCAGCUAGGUGUAGCCAGAUCUUUGUUUAAAAGGAAAGACGGAACCAGGCAUGAUGAUGCAUGCCCGAAUAAUCUCAACUCUUGGCAGGCUGAGGCAAGUGAGUUCAAGGCCAGCCUGGACUACAAUAGUGAGGCUCUGUCUCAAAAGACCAAGAUAAAUAAGUAAAUAGAAGCAAAGGCAGACGGUGACUUAUAUGAAAAGCAAGUCAUAAAAACAACUCUUUUAUAACAUCAUCAAAAAGAACACACUUAGGAAAUACUUAGGAAUAAACUCAACCAAAAGUUGAAAGACUGGUAUGCUGAAAACAACAAAACAUUGCUGAAAGAAAUUAUAAAAGACAUAAAUAAAUGGAAAGACACUGCUCAUGAAUCAGAAGACUGAGUAUUGUUAAGAAGUCAACACUGCCCAGAGCAAUCUACAGAUUUAAUAUAAUACCUAUCAAAAUACCAACAGCAUCUUAUGCACAAAUAGAAAAUGCCAUCCUAAAAUUUGAAUGAAAUAGCAAGAAAUUCCAAAUAGUUGAAACAACCUGUAAAAAAGAAAAAUGUUGGAGUCCUCACAAUGGUCAAUUUCAAAACUUUGAAAGCUACAGUGAUCAAAAUGGUAUGUAACUGAUAUAGGAGACAAUUUGAGUGCCUCACCUUGACUGCAGAGUAAGUUAAAUUUAGUCUUAUUUCCAUAUACUGAUAGGUGCAGAGCAGGCUAUGCUAUUCCCUUCUCCCUUCAAUUGGCUCUAAGUGAUACAAAUAAGGCCAGCUAAGUUACAGUAUGUAAUCUUUUAGGCCAACUGACAGUUUCCUGUUUUCUCCCUAGUGCUCUUUGUAAAAGAUUGGAGCACAGCAGGAUGGCAGAGCAGGUCAGCUCCAGGAAUGUCAGCUGGAUAUGGCACGAAGGUUUACAUAUCAGAAACUGAAGCAACAGCCUCCUAAUACAAUUCAAAUGCUACCUUAAUUGAAUGCAGACUGGUCCUUCUGCAGUAUCAUUCUCCCUGCAUUUUGCAAAGAUGUUUUUCUCCCACCUGGCUGGCCAGCUCAGGUUGCUCAUGUAGUUCCUGCCACUCUCACUGUCACUCAUCCAUGAACCACCCCUUUCUUCACAAGAUGAUAAAUUCUGGGAGAGGCCUUGGAUCAAGCCUUUUGUCCUCAUAUCCUCACUUGGAUCCAGCUUAUGACCCCUUGGCUGCCCUUAGCUUGGAAUAUGUCUUACUGCCUUUACUCUCACCGUGGGUUGCAUUAACUUGCUGGGAUUCCAAUAACAUCUGAAUGGAACUACAAAUAUAACUUUUUGGAUUGUGUGGAUUAUAAUAUUCAUUUUGGGAUUACAAAACUGGCUUAAAGACAGACACACUGAUCAAUAAAAUACUAUAGAGAGCUCAGAAAUAAGCAUUUGCAUAUAUGAUUGCUGACUUCCAAAGAAGGUGCCAAGACCAAACCAUGGAGAAAGGAUAUCUCUUCAUCAAAUGAUAUUGUGAAAAUUGCAUAUCCACAAUGCAAAAGAAUUUGUGUAUUUUCCUUGUACCCAGUUAAAAAUAUAAAUCAAGACAGAUCAAAAACCUAAAUAUAAGACAUAAGCUGUACAGCUCUUAUAAGAAGUCAUCACAUUGGACUUGUUAGUAAUUUUUUAUAUGAUGCCAAAAGCACAGGUGAUAAAAGUAAAAAAGAUUAAAUGAGACUUCGCUGAAUUUCAAAACUUAUGUGUAUCAAAGGACACAAUCAACAGGAUGAAAAGUCAAUCUGUGUUAUCAGAGAAAUUAUUUUCAAGUACUGUGUCUGCUAAGAGAGUACAACAACACAAUGUUUUAUGUGAAAAAAUUACAAAGGUAGAAAGCUAAAUUUUUAUGUGAAAUUUCUCAAUUUGUAAACAUUAGCAAUUGUUCUGAACCUGUAGUUUCCUGCCUCAUGGUGAUAUCUCCCUCUCUUUGAUAAUAAAAAUCCCAGACCCCAAAUGUGUCUGAGUGUCCACUCUUUAUUUAUCACGUGACUCAGGUCAGUUCUGCCUGAUCCAAACUGAUCAUACUGGUCUUCUUCCUCUAGCCAGCAAUGAAUUUAGAGGUGGAUAAGCAAUUCAGUUCUGAUGAAUAAAGGAUGAGAAGACUUCUAGAGUUUUAGGAAGGUUUCAUUUUUUGAAAUUGGAUCAUUUCAGGAUAAGAUGCCUGUGAAGGAGGCUCUGAUAAAUGACUCCAUUUUGUCUCUACCAGACUUGUCUUUUCUGAGUUGUUCUUUCUCUUGGUCUAUCUUAAAUUCCAAAAUCACACGUCUGAUGGAUUAGCAUCUUGCCACAGGAAUCAAAAUGGUCCUCAGCAGUGGCAGUUUCCUCAGCAUUGAUUCUAUGUGAUCAGUCCCAGGACAAUUAUCAACCAGAUUAUGACCUUCCCAGGAUCCCUUACCUAUAUGGCAAUGCCCCACAAGUCUUACCUUGGUACUACUGCUGACAGCUUUAAGAUGGCCCUGAGAUUUGUCAUCCUGUGUGAAACCAUUGAAGAUAAAUUCCUUUCUUAUAUCACCACCACUCUUUUCCAUUUGAUUUUUUUUCCUUGGGAUAGAAAGCUGAACCUGCUCCGUGGAGACCUAAGAGUCAGGCAUAUGGCCUAAAGUUCUAAUGUCUGGAGCUCCUGCAGUCAUUUUCCAAGCAGGAAAGCCACAGAUAGACCUGUGGAAAAAUGGGAGAGAUGGGAAGAAUCAGAGGCACUGACAUAACCAGUUGCAUCCCUCCCUACCUUUUUUUAAUCUCCAGACUUCCUGUUAUGUGAGAUAAUCCAUCUAUUUAUUGUUGAAAUUACUUUGAGCUUCAUGAAUGCAUCUGUAGCUUAAAGGAUCAUUAUCUAUGCAGACAAUUAAAGAAUAUAUGAACCAAAUCUGACCCAGAGGAGCAGGGAGUUUACUGACCUGGGUAGUUCUCCAGUUACUUGCACUAAGCACUGUUGCAUGAAUUUCUCUCUGUAUUAUUCAGACCGACUAGGAGUCCCUUAUUCUCCUUGUUUCCAUGGUUUCUUAGAGAAGGUCCACGCCGUCACUGUUCCCCACCAAGAAUCUCUCUACACUGACUUCCUCAUUGAUUUUCUGUUUCUGAAGAUGCUAUUUCCAGCCCUGCAACUGUCCUUUUUAGUUACAAGUUUCCUUAUCCUUCUAGUAUUUUCCAUGAAAGCUGCUUUGUCUGUUAGUAACAUAUAACAUCAUCUUUCCUUUGAUUAGGAUUAGUGUGAUACAUCUUUUUCGAUCCUUUCACUUUUAUUUAUAUGUUCCUAUGAAGAGUGGGUUUUUUGAAGGCAGGAUAUAAUUAGGUCUUGCUUUAUGCAAUUCAUCUCUCCUUUUACCUGCAACAGCCACUUUCUAGUUAACUGCUUUUAAAAAAAAAAGAGAGAAAGGUCAUUCUUCCUUGUUAGAGUUUGAAUGUGUUGGAAACUUAAAUGUUACUGUUAUUGAGAUGGGCCUUUGGAAGGUAAUUAGGAUUGGAGGAGACAUUAGGUGGGGUCCCUGUAAUAACAUUAAUGACAGUAAGAGGAAGAAAGACCUGAGCUGGCAUGCUUGUGCUGUCUGGCCAUGUGAUGUGCUCUGCCAUAUUAUAAUGCAGCAAGGAUGCCAGCACCAUGCUCUAAGAUUUUUCAGCCUCCAGAGAUGUCAGCUGAACAAAAACCUCUAUUCAAAGAUUACCAAGUCUCUGAAACUCAGUUACAACAGAAAUAUACUAAGACAUAAGACACUCCCUUUUCUCUCUGUACCUAAGCAUUGUUUUUGUAAUACAACUUUAAGAAUUAUCAUUCCUUACAUAAAUUUACAUGAUGAUGGCAAGGAGUUUGGAAAUCAGGCAGCAUCUGGCUUCGGGUAUGUGAUGGGGAAUUUAGAGAUAGUAAGAAAGUAAGCUUGUCCUAUCUUGUACUGCCUACAUAAUUUCUACCCUGCCCUAAUCUUGCUUAUCUUUAAGGACAGGAUGCCUGAAGGGCAGCAGGCCCUGUUGAGGUCAGUUAACUAAAACUGGUUGGUUCUAACAGGCCUAGGUGUCAGAGUGACCACUGGACAGCCUCUAACUUCAUUGUGUAACAUCGACAUGCUAAAUGACAGCCCCUGCCCCAUCCAUGACAGUUGCCAUAAUGAUGACAAAGAAGGAGAAGAAAUCAAGCAAGCAAGCAGGUCAAAGAGGUGGGACCCAAAUCCUGGAAUCUCUAUCUUUUCUUAGAAGAUCCCUCCUGAUUAUUAGCCUAUCUCUCCCCUUAUUUCCUGUAUUCCAAGUGUUUGACUUCCCUACCCCCAAUGAAACUGAUUUGUGAGCCUUUCUCCCAACUUCUCCUAUUCUUUGACCAAGAAUAAACCUUGUAUUAUUGCUCAGUUGCAGCUUGGUCCUAUCAUUGGUUCUGCAAUUCCAUGAGGUGAAAAAGGACCAAGUUCGGGGUCCAAAAUGGUAGUAAGUAAGAAAAAAAAAAUAGUAGUAAGAACUUUUGCCCUAGUCUUUUACAGUAGUUAAACUAGUGUACAAAGGACCUCAAAUUUACUAUGUACUUGUGAAUAAAGUUCUUUCAACUAAAAGAAGAAGUAAAAGUGGGUAAUACAUUGGUUAUAGUCACUAAGACUUCUUUAUCCUUUUUUCUAGAUAAGUCUUAGUCACCCUCUUUCUAUUAUGUAAAGAAUAAGAAAUUUCAGACUGGUAUAAACUUGAAGCAAUUAUUUCUUUAUUAAAAUUGUUUUAUUUUAUGAAAAAAUAAAAGUUUAUAUGAAAAUAAGAGAAUAACAAGUUAAUAUACUGUGUUCUUUAUCUCCAAAGUAGUUACUCAGAAUACAAGACAUAAACAAAAGAGGAAACUGAUACACAAAAGGUUUCAAUGAACUAAGAUAAAUUAGUAGUAUAAAUGAAAUAAAUUAACAUGUAAUUGAAAUAUUUUUGAAACAAUGGAAUAUGUAAUUUGGAGAAGUAUUUAACUUUUCCUUACUUCCUGUUUAUUUAUGUUUCUCCUAUUUUGCUUUUUGUGUGUGAGCAUACAUACAUAUGUAAUACAUUGAUUUAUGAACUUAAUUUGUUGUAUAGUUUUGGGAAAGGUGGCUGCAUUUGUGUUUGUAUGGGGAAAAUGGCUGUGGUCAUGUUUGUUACUUAAUAUGGAGUUUGGGAAUAGAAGCAAAAUUUUGCUGAAUGCUUUUGUUUGUGAACCCAGGCAUUACUAUAUAUUGCCCUAGUCUUUUACAGUAGUUAACCUAGUGUACAAAGGACCUCAACUUUACUAUGUACUUGUGAAUAAAGUUCUUUCUCAUAUAAGCGGAACCAA